GCCUAUAUUUCAUCAAAUGCAAGACUGUUUCUUUAAAAUCCGUUAAAAUUCCUUCGCUAUGAAUUGGAAAACAGAAAUGUUAAGAAAGUUACGAUGAAAAGAAGAAAUAAUAUCCGACACAACGUUGCGUCGUCGUGCUUCUAACCGGAUCUUACGACUUAACUUGACUUAACUAACUCGAUUUACCGAACUCGUGGGAUAUUCAAAUAUCGAUAUCAUCGCAUCUGCUCCGCAGGCAGCGCCAGUCGUGGCGAUAUAGCAUCGCAAAUUCAAUUUCCACGAAUACUCAGUCGCCUCCGUGGAAUCAAAAUGAGAAGAGGACGGAAGCACUUCGAGAUGGGAGUUUCAAAGUCGAGCUAUGCUCGUCGUCGUCUAAAGACGACAUCGAUUUUCCGAACCGAGUGCUUCCAAAGUACGUAAACGACGAUGAAUCGUGUAGCGUUGCCGAGAUGCGAUGGGAAACUUCUUAUGGAAAAUUGAAAAAGGAUGAAUUAACGCAUCGCCAGUUACUUGGUGAAAUGCGGUUUCUCGAGCGUAGAGAAAAUUAUGCGGAAAUUAUAGCUACAGAAAAUCUAUUUCAGUAUAUAUCUAUAUAUAUCUAUAUACGAAUGAUAAAUUGUAUAAGUACGAAUUGUAUAAAGGAUACACAAGGACAACGAUCCAUUUCAUACAAACCUGUUUUCGAAGCGAUGGGAAGACUUGGAGGAACAUUUGGUACGUUUCCACGGUUAUUGCUAUUCGAUUAAAAGUAUAACGUAGCGUACGAACGAAGAACAUUCAGAGAACUGAUGCCAUUUCGAAAAAAUAUGUCAACACUGAUAACGACAUUUACGAAGACGAAUCACGUUUGCACGACGAAAGCCUAGCGAGCACUGUUGGUGUUCUGCGGUUAAAUAUUCAACUAUCGAGAAUCGUACGCUUCUAUAAUAAACAUUGGCUGUAACAGUUCGUUCAUAAUGUAUCCGAACGAGUACACGCGUCACGACAGUGAUAUGCUACGAAUUAGUGUCUCGAUGAUAAAUUAGAUAAGAAAUUAAAAUAUUUUUCUUUUUCUAACAUUUUUACUACAAAACUCAAUUCUAUCUUCUAAAAGAUAUACGAUACUAAAUAAAUAAAAUAAAUAUACAUGAAAGUUUGAAA